rnacentral:rRNA from 1 species
GAUCAUGGCUCAGGAUGAACGCUGGCGGCGUGCUUAACACAUGCAAGUCGAACGAAGCUAUUAAAAGGAAGUUUUCGGAUGGAAUUUUAAUAGACUUAGUGGCGGACGGGUGAGUAACGCGUGGAUAACCUGCCUUAUACAGGGGGAUAACGGAGAGAAAUUUCCGCUAACACCGCAUAAGACCACAGCACCGCAUGGUGCAGGGGUAAAAUAUUUAUAGGUAUAAGAUGGAUCCGCGUCCGAUUAGCUAGUUGG